rnacentral:rRNA from 1 species
UACGUAGGGGGCAAGCGUUGUCCGGAAUCAUUGGGCGUAAAGAGCGCGUAGGCGGCCCAGUAAGUCCGCUCUGAAAGUCAGAGGCUCAACCUCUGAAUGCGGGUGGAUACUGCUGGGCUAGAGUCCGGAAGAGGCGAGUGGAAUUCCUGGUGUAGCGGUGAAAUGCGCAGAUAUCAGGAGGAACACCAAUGGCGAAGGCAGCACUCUGGGACGGUACUGACGCUGAGACGCGAAAGCGUGGGGAGCAAACAGG